GGAGAGGUGACCGAGCGGCCGAAGGUGCAUGAUUGGAAAUCAUGUGUAGUGCAAGCUACCGGGGGUUCGAAUCCCCCCCUNUUUA
rnacentral:tRNA from 1 species